GGGGAGGGAGGAGGAUUCUUCCCAAACAAAGCCCUGCAACAGACACAUAAGGCAUUUCACCCCUUAAGGAGGUCUUGGGCAGAAAAGGAGAGUAUCAGGCCAGGAAAAACUACCCAAGUAUUCAUUUUUCAAUGUUUUGUCUGUCCACACUGUAAUGUGAAUCCCUAGGGAGUGGUCCACUUCGGCCUUAUUCCACGAUUCUCUGGAAGAGUCAUACAUGAGGCACAGAGGAAGUUUUCAGAGUGGGCAGAGCCUGUCAAGGUAAAUGUGCUUUCUGCCUUUACAAGGUACCAGCUGACUGUAUCAUUAACAGCAAUGGUAAUAAAAAAUGCAGCUCGCUCUCUCUCUCACCUUAAGGGGAUUUGAGUCACUGACAUUUUAAUUAACAAGGUUCACGUUCUCCCAGCGUCAAGCUUGCUCUCUGCACAACUUCUCCUUGCUGUAGUGGGUGGAGAUCAGGUGUUCUUUGCCCUUCAUGACUACAAUGCCACGUGGGGUGGGUGUGUCCUGUUGUGUGUUGCAGGGAGGGCUCCUCUCAGGAAAAGGCACAACGGGAAGAUGAUGGUCUUUCCCUUUUUAGGAACCAAAACCCCCCCGAGGAAGCAGUUGGAAGAA